rnacentral:rRNA from 1 species
AGAGUUUGAUCCUGGCUCAGGACGAACGCUGGCGGCACGCUUAACACAUGCAAGUCGAACGAGAGAAGAGAAGCUUGCUUUUCUGAUCUAGUGGCGGACGGGUGAGUAACACGUGAGCAAUCUGCCUUUCAGAGGGGGAUACCGAUUGGAAACGAUCGUUAAUACCGCAUAACAUAAUUGAACCGCAUGAUUUGAUUAUCAAAGAUUUAUCGCUGAAAGAUGAGCUCGCGUCUGAUUAGCUAGUUGGUAAGGUAACGGCUUACCAAGGCGACGAUCAGUAGCCGGACUGAGAGGUUGAUCGGCCACAUUGGGACUGAGACACGGCCCAGACUCCUACGGGAGGCAGCAGUGGGGAAUAUUGCACAAUGGAGGAAACUCUGAUGCAGCGAUGCCGCGUGAGGGAAGAAGGUUUUAGGAUUGUAAACCUCUGUCUUCAGGGACGAAAAAAGACGGUACCUGAGGAGGAAGCUCCGGCUAACUACGUGCCAGCAGCCGCGGUAAUACGUAGGGAGCGAGCGUUGUCCGGAAUUACUGGGUGUAAAGGGAGCGUAGGCGGGAUCGCAAGUCAGAUGUGAAAACUAUGGGCUUAACCCAUAAACUGCAUUUGAAACUGUGGUUCUUGAGUGAAGUAGAGGUAAGCGGAAUUCCUAGUGUAGCGGUGAAAUGCGUAGAUAUUAGGAGGAACACCAGUGGCGAAGGCGGCUUACUGGACGAUAACUGACGCUGAGGCUCGAAAGCGUGGGGAGCAAACAGGAUUAGAUACCCUGGUAGUCCACGCCGUAAACGAUGAUUACUAGGUGUGGGGGGACUGACCCCUUCCGUGCCGCAGCAAACGCAAUAAGUAAUCCACCUGGGGAGUACGACCGCAAGGUUGAAACUCAAAGGAAUUGACGGGGGCCCGCACAAGCAGUGGAGUAUGUGGUUUAAUUCGACGCAACGCGAAGAACCUUACCAAGUCUUGACAUCCCUUGACGAACAUAGAAAUAUGUUUUCUCUUCGGAGCAAGGAGACAGGUGGUGCAUGGUUGUCGUCAGCUCGUGUCGUGAGAUGUUGGGUUAAGUCCCGCAACGAGCGCAACCCCUAUCUUUAGUAGCCAGCAUAUAAGGUGGGCACUCUAGAGAGACUGCCAGGGAUAACCUGGAGGAAGGUGGGGACGACGUCAAAUCAUCAUGCCCCUUAUGACCAGGGCUACACACGUGCUACAAUGGCGUAAACAGAGGGAAGCAGCCUCGUGAGAGUGAGCAAAUCCCAAAAAUAACGUCUCAGUUCGGAUUGUAGUCUGCAACUCGACUACAUGAAGCUGGAAUCGCUAGUAAUCGCGAAUCAGAAUGUCGCGGUGAAUACGUUCCCGGGUCUUGUACACACCGCCCGUCACACCAUGGGAGUCAGUAACGCCCGAAGUCAGUGACCCAACCGUAAGGAGGGAGCUGCCGAAGGCGGGACCGAUAACUGGGGUGAAGUCGUAACAAGGUAGCCGUAUCGGAAGGUGCGGCUG